rnacentral:rRNA from 1 species
AGCGAACGCUGGCGGCAGGCCUAACACAUGCAAGUCGAACGGAUCCUUCGGGAUUAGUGGCGGACGGGUGAGUAACACGUGGGAACGUGCCCUUUGGUUCGGAACAACUCAGAGAAACUUGAGCUAAUACCGGAUGUGCCCUUCGGGGGAAAGAUUUAUCGCCAUUGGAGCGGCCCGCGUCUGAUUAGCUAGUUGGUGAGGUAACGGCCCACCAAGGCGACGAUCAGUAGCUGGUCUGAGAGGAUGAUCAGCCACACUGGGACUGAGACACGGCCCAGACUCCUACGGGAGGCAGCAGUGGGGAAUCUUGCGCAAUGGGCGAAAGCCUGACGCAGCCAUGCCGCGUGAAUGAUGAAGGUCUUAGGAUUGUAAAAUUCUUUCAGCGGGGACGAUAAUGACGGUACCCGCAGAAGAAGCUCCGGCUAACUUCGUG